rnacentral:rRNA from 1 species
AUUGAACGCUGGCGGCAUGCCUUACACAUGCAAGUCGAACGGCAGCACGGGAGCAAUCCUGGUGGCGAGUGGCGAACGGGUGAGUAAUAUAUCGGAACGUGCCCAGUCGUGGGGAUAACGUAGCGAAAGCUACGCUAAUACCGCAUACGAUCUAUGGAUGAAAGCGGGGGAUCGCAAGACCUCGCGCGAUUGGAGCGGCCGAUAUCAGAUUAGGUAGUUGGUGAGGUAAAGGCUCACCAAGCCGACGAUCUGUAGCUGGUCUGAGAGGACGACCAGCCACACUGGGACUGAGACACGGCCCAGACUCCUACGGGAGGCAGCAGUGGGGGAAUUUUUGGACAAUGGGCGCAAGCCUGAUCCAGCAAUGCCGCGUGCAGGAUGAAGGCCUUCGGUGUAACUGCUUUGUACGGUACG